AUUGAACGCUGGCGGCAGGCUUAACACAUGCAAGUCGAGCGGGGGAAGGUAGCUUGCUACCGGACCUAGCGGCGGACGGGUGAGUAAUGCUUAGGAAUCUGCCUAUUAGUGGGUGACAACAUCUCGAAAGGGAUGCUAAUACCGCAUACGUCCUACGGGAGAAAGCAGGGGACCUUCGGACCUUGCGCUAAUAGAUGAGCCUAAGUCGGAUUAGCUAGUUGGUGGGGUAAAGGCCUACCAAGGCGACGAUCUGUAGCGGGUCUGAGAGGAUGAUCCGCCACACUGGGACUGAGACACGGCCCAGACUCCUACGGGAGGCAGCAGUGGGGAAUAUUGGACAAUGGGGGGAACCCUGAUCCAGCCAUGCCGCGUGUGUGAAGAAGGCCUUAUGGUUGUAAAGCACUUUAAGCGAGGAGGAGGCUACUCUAGUUAAUACCUAGGGAUAGUGGACGUUACUCGCAGAAUAAGCACCGGCUAACUCUGUGCCAGCAGCCGCCGUAA
rnacentral:rRNA from 1 species